AGAAUGUUUCUCUUUGUAGUCAGGUGGUGUAGUUCCAGAAUCUACCAGCAGGGGCUAAAUGAGCCAUGCUUGUUAACUAGCCAACUAGCUAACUAGCUUCAGAGUGAUUAGUCACAAGGCAUAUACUGACUCAAAAUGUUUUGGAAUAUUUCGUCUUGUACAUCCAGGGAGGACCAGCUUCAUGUCAAGCAUCUGCUCUUCAGAUGACACUAUCAAAGAUAGCUUUCUUUCUCCAGGAUAUCCUUCCAGUGUGAGCUGGAAACAAUUAUAUCAUCUCUGCUGAAGCUCACACUCUUUCAUCUGUGUGGAAACAUCCCGAAUCAGCCCGACCGGGGGGAUGAAGCGGCACGGAAAAUCAAGCUUCUGAGAGCUGAAUCAGAGCUUGCCGGACUUGGAUGGGAGUAUUAACCGCAACUUCCUGUGAUCAUCAAUCAAGAAAACCAAAGAGAAUGCAGAUGCACAAGGUAUGACUUCUGAAACAGCAAUGACCUCCAAGAGGCCUUACAGUUGAAGGCACAGGACAGUGAUUGAAAGACAGAUGUUGAUGGUAAUGGAAUUUUUGUGGCCAUGUGAUUUGUCUUCAUGGACACAGACUUUCACCAAAGAAAUGGUCUGUGGAGGGGAAAGGAGAGGUGAAAACCCAAAGUGACAAGGAAUGUGAAAAAGAGGGAAGGAAAGCUUGUAAUUCCUGUCGGGUUUCACACGGCCCAAAAACGGAGACAAAGGUGGUCUGUGGAAGCUUGCGCGGUGACCCUGUGAUUUGAAGAUCAUUUACAUAAUGGUGUAGACGUUUGGAAGAAAGUAGGUGAGGUGGUGUUGAAACGCUGGUGCCGGUGGGGAGAUCUCUUCUAAUGGUGUCCAGCGGCCUGCCCAAAACCACACAACACACUCAGCAUUCACUCCACACGCAGUGCCGCCCAGACAGACGAGGAAAUCACAGAAAUGAGAGGUCAUUGUAAGAGGAAGAACACGUGCAGAGCCAAUGAAGCUUCACAUCCAGAUUCACUUGUGUUUAGCAAGGAAAGUAUAAAAUAGAGGGAAUAUUUCUCUCGCCUUGUUGGUGGUUCAUACAUGUAAGAGUUAUAUAAUCUAUAUUAUAUCAUCUCAAUGUGUUCUUCUAUAAGUCUUACAUCAUUUAUAGUUAUAUCUUAUAUAUUUUACACAGAAUUUUUGGGUAAAAUAUGUCACAGUUUACUUUAUUUUGCUAUCCUCACUUACAUAAAUGAACUAUAGUGUCCUACAUCCACUAGUAAAAAUAUAUAAAAAAUGUCUGAAUAAUUUUUGGUUUGACUGUAUGUGCUUAGUUGAAUUUCCAAAUUACUAUCAAUAUGACCAAAUGCAAAAAAUAAAUAAAUAAAUAAUAAUAAUAAAAUCCAUCCUAAUUUGAAAUAAAGUCUGUUUUUGUGCAAAAAAUAGACUUAUAUGUGAACUAUGAAAAAUAAAAUGCAACAAAAAUGUAGAAUAGUGCAUUGCAUUUUUUUAAAGAUGCAUUUCAUCCUAAUGAGAGUCCACAAGCCAGACUAUUAGUGGAAACCCAGCGUGACCCUAUCCUUAGUGUAAUGGAUUGAGAAAAGAGAUGGAUGCAUUAGAUGAGUCUCUCUCUUUCUUUUCUCAGAAAGGAGAAGGGCCGCGCUGCCCACACUUCAAGUCCUCUUGCCCCGAAAACCGCAUCUGACCACCAGGACCUCAGGGAAACCACGGCCUGAUGGAGGAAUAAAAGAGAGUGAGAGAGGCAGAGAGAGGUGGAGAGGCUUUGGCCCCACAACAGCUGAUGGCGGUGCUGGAUGAUAUAUAGUCCCACACCUCGGAGGGAAAACUCAAGCAGGAGAAGUGUUUCCACUACUGUCAAAGAAAAACAACAUUCAUCAAUAGACUGCACUGGAAAACAGAAACAUGUGCCAGAAGAACAAUUAUAUCCAGAAGAAAGAGUCAAUUAUAGGGCUAUAAAGUUCUCUUUAGCCCAGAGACGGGCCGCCCGUGUCGGGGGAAGCUGAAAGCUAACAUGAUUACCGGAGUGGAACAACUAGCAGCACACAGGAGACACACAGGAAAACUGUGUACAUGCCUCUGGAGGUUAGCAUUGACGGAUCUGUGUCCUGACUGCAUCCUUUUUUCUGGGGGCUCUGUUAGUCUCAGACACAAAUUGCACACCCUUGGACCACCCACAGCCCAAGCGCUGAUUGACGCACACAAGUACUGACUGAAAUUCAUCAGAUCCAAUCGGAUUGGUUGGAUGUUCAUCAGUUCACCUUGAUACAAAGUCGUGCUUACAAGCUACUGAGCUGAUACAGUGAGCACUUCUGAGGAAGAACUAGAUUGGAUUUUGUUCUCCAGGUCUCGCUUAUGUAAGGCUCGUACCCCCACGCCAGCUUUGGCUUCCGCUCUUAAUGAGAUCCAAUUGGAGAACUGCUGCUCUCGUGGCUUUUGAUGGCUGUCACAUGUGGAAGUGAUUGCCGAAUCUCGUGCUGCCGACAGUAAGCGUGAGGACCAGAAAGCCCCGGGUGUGUCUCAGCAGCUUCAGUGUAAGCUGUCCAAGGGAGAGCAGUUUGUAAUGGAGGCCUCACAGGGGCAGAAUCACUGAAGGUAUUUCAGCCCAAAUAACAUUGUUAUAUAUUCACUAAGUACUAGUGUUGUAGUACUCCAGACCAUUUGUACUCAGUCUUGUCUCGGUCUCAGACUAAGAGGACUUGGGGUUUUAUUUCAAGAUUGGUCAAGACCACAACUGUGCAUUGUCUGAUUUAUUUGUUAACAUCAUUAAUGUGAUUGGAUGUAAAAUGUCCUGCUUUAAAUGCAAUAAAUAACUUCCAAUUUGAUUUCUGUUGUUACUGUUGUGCUGGGUCAGAAAUGAAUGAGAUCUUGAUUUUAUAUUAUAAGAUAUGCUAUAAUUAAGCAAUUGUGCACACCAUUUAUCUCAACAUUAUUUAUGCAUGUUUUAAUUGUU